ACUCCUACAUUGUUGGUAGGAAUAUAAAUUGGUACAGUCACUAUGGAAAACUGUACGAAGAUUCCUUAAAAAACUAAAAAUACAGUGACCAUAUAAUCCAGCAAUCCCACUCUAGGGCACAUAUCUAGAGAAAACCGGAAUUUUAAAAGA